rnacentral:rRNA from 1 species
AUUGAACGCUGGCGGCAGGCCUAAAACAUGCAAGUCGAGCGAGCGGCGGACGGGUGAGUAAUGUAUGGGGACUGCCCGAUAGAGGGGGAUAAAUACUGGAAACGGUGGAUAAUACCGCAUACUAUCGGAUAACCGAUAUGGGAUUAGCUAGUAGGUGGGGUAAAGGUUCACCUAGGCGACGAUCUCUAGCUGGUAUGAGAGGAGGAUCAGCCACACUGUGACGUAGACACGGCCCAGACUCCUACGGAGUCAGCAGUGGGGAAUAUUGCACAAUGGGCGAAAGCCUGAUGCAGCCAUGCCGCGUGUAUGAAGAAGGCCUUAGGGUUGUAAAGUACUUUCAGCGGGGAGGCGUUACCCUCAGAAGAAGCACCGGCUAACUCCGUGCCAGCAGCCGCGGUAAUAC